GCUGAGUCCUGGCUCCGUCCUGGGCUGAGUCGCUGAGUCCUCCGAGCUCAGUCCUCCUGUCUGGGGGCUGGAGUCAGUAGCUACUCCACGAGGAUCCAGGAGGAUUAAAUAUGCUAAGGCUGUCAGCUGAAUGAGAAUGGAGAGCUCUGCCUGCUUCUCCUGCUGCACUGUGCCUGGUGUCCAGAGCCGGCCCAGCAGCAGCAGGGCCUCAGUGACAUGAGCUGGGUGAGUGAACCCUGCAGACCACACAGGAGCACGCUUCCAGGAGUGCUAAGCGCCGUCAGCUCCUUCACUGUCCAUGGAGCCCAGCUCUGUGCCCGGCCCUGACUUGCGCUGUAGGCACGAUGGUCGUGAAGGAGACAAAUUCUGCCGCCCCCGUGGAGCCGACGUCACAGAGGGACAAACAGUGAGCAGAGCACAGCAGAAACCACAGGACAGGCUCCUGCCCGCAGUGUCCCCGCUCCCUCUGCCUCCUGACUACUCUUGGGCUUCCCUGUGUGGCCCUGCGUGCCCCUCCUCAGGGAGCUGUGAGUAACCAACUACCUUUUCAAUGGCAUCGUCUCCUGGUCUGUUGGCCUUACUGAACCUCAAAUGUUCCAUUAUUACAUCCUGAGUGGAACCAGCCCUCCCAGACCCUUUGCAGACACUCAGCGUAAACAAAGGAACGGUGUACCCUGUUACAGUAUCUUCGACAAGUUUAAUAUUUUAAUAUAAACUAGAGCUCCUUUUUCCCAUCAGAUUGGAGCCUCCGUAAAAGUGGAGGGCACAUCAGGAAUUACAUGGACAAGACCAGACCCCUGGGACGUCCCGAACGUCUGUCUCCCAGACGUCGGGCUCAGGCCAGGGCUUGACCGAGUCCCAGGCUCUGCCUGCCCACUGUGCCUGGAGCUUGGUUGGUUUUGCAAAAUCAGCUUUUAAACUUGUCAGUUUAGCAGAGAACUCCUCAGUUCCAAACUCAUCUUUCCAGCAAUAAUCCAGUUACACCACGAGUGAGGGGGCCUGUUCCCUGAGGCAGGUAACGAGAAUCUGCAGAUAUCAGCAGGGAGAGAGUCAGCCUGGCCUAUUUCAGAACAAGGGGCAUGUUUGGGAGAGAGUCGGGGUGCACAGCGUGGGAGCACAGAACAAGGGGACGCCCUGGGGGACACCAGAUCCAGACUUGUUUCCUUGGGAGCUCAACAGUCACGCAUCAGAUUUCCAGGGAAGUGCCCCGAGAGGGGAGUGGGUUGGAGCUGAGCUUGGCUGUCACUCCAUGGAAAGGAGGGCUGAACAUUGCAGACAGCUGUGGCCCUGGGCACAGCCGGACCCAAGGGAGACCCCCAGAAAGUCCCCUUCAAGACGGCCAGGAUGGUCAGGACAUGGUCCAGCUGCUGUAACAAAGGCCCACAGCAGAGUGGCACACAGAGCUGGCCCCUCUCCCACGCUCAGUCUGGAGGCAGACGGUUGGCACUGGUCUGGCAGUGUUGCUCCAGGAGGCUCCUGUCCCCAUUGCCCUGUCAUCCCAGAGGAGCUGCCCUCAUCCGUGUGGUCAGGACAGAGCUCCAGCCUCAGAGCUCGUGCUCCCGGCAGCAGAAAGAGGGAGAAGCAGAAAGAAGGGCCUGCUUCUCUCUCCUGGGAAAUAUUUGGAAGCUGCACAAGUCACUUCCCUUCCCAUCCUGAGGGAGAGCUGGGUUCCAGGCCCAGCCCGCUGCAGAGGAGGCUGGGAAGUCUGUGAUCCUGGGUGGCCACAUGCCCAGCUAGGAGUCAGGGGUUCAGUUGCUCUGAGAAGUGGACGAUGCCAUUGGGAGCCACCCGGACCUCUCUGCCACACCCCUGUUAAUGUUUCCUCCCACCACGCCACCACUCCCUACCCUGAGUUCAUGUUUUGUGAAAAAUGGUCCAUCAGACCAAUUGCAUUAACUAAUUCAUAAAUCAGGAACCAGCUGAAAAUCCCAGGCUGGCGUGGGUGUUCGGUAGAUGUGCUGGCAAAUCCCUGAUGGGGCCCCACACCUACUCCAGUUCUCUGUGCAUGUGCAGCCAGAGGUGUCUUCUCCACUGGAGGCCAAGCACGUUGUUCCCUGCUCGUGAUCCCCUGCUCCUUAGGACCAGACCCUGGGCCCUUUCUGUGGAACUGAGCUUGGACUAACGAGGGAGCUGAGAGGCAGAUGCUGGCCAGCCAGCCAGGGCCCAAGCUUUCAGAAGAG
rnacentral:lncRNA from 1 species